rnacentral:rRNA from 1 species
GGCAAGACUGCUUGGUCGACCUUUUUGGUUCGUACUGGGUUAGUUAUGCCUUACCUUCUGGAGAAGAUGUGUGCUCUUUACUGAGUGCGCUUUGGAACCAGGAAUUUUACUUUGAAGAAAUUAGAGUGUUUAAAGCAGGCAUUUGCUUGAAUACAUUAGCAUGGAAUAAUAAAAUAGGACUUUGGUCUUAUUUUGUUGGUUUAGGGACCGAAGUA